GACGAACGCUGGCGGCGUGCCUAACACAUGCAAGUCGAACGGAACUGUUUUGAAAGAUUUCUUCGGAAUGAAUUUGAUUUAGUUUAGUGGCGGACGGGUGAGUAACGCGUGAGUAACCUGCCUUCAAGAGGGGAAUAACAUUCUGAAAAGAAUGCUAAUACCGCAUGACAUAUCGGAACCACAUGGUUUUGAUAUCAAAGAUUUUAUCGCUUGAAGAUGGACUCGCGUCCGAUUAGUUAGUUGGUGAGGUAACGGCUCACCAAGACCGCGAUCGGUAGCCGGACUGAGAGGUUGAACGGCCACAUUGGGACUGAGACACGGCCCAGACUCCUACGGGAGGCAGCAGUGGGGGAUAUUGCGCAAUGGGGGCAACCCUGACGCAGCAACGCCGCGUGAAGGAUGAAGGUUUUCGGAUUGUAAACUUCUUUUAUUAAGGACGAAAAAUGGCGGUACUUAAUGAAUAAGCUCCGGCUAACUACGUG
rnacentral:rRNA from 1 species